CGGUGUUUAGAGGUGUGGGUCGGGAAACCGGAGCUAAUACCGGAUAAUAUUUUGAACCGCAUGGUUCAAAAGUGAAAGACGGUCUUGCUGUCACUUAUAGAUGGAUCCGCGCUGCAUUAGCUAGUUGGUAAGGUAACGGCUUACCAAGGCAACGAUGCAUAGCCGACCUGAGAGGGUGGUGUGAGAGACGCGUUAUCGGCCACACUGGAACUGAGACACGGUCCAGACUCCUACGGGAGGCAGCAGUAGGGAAUCUUCCGCAAUGGGCGAAAGCCUGACGGAGCAACGCCGCGUGAGUGAUGAAGGUCUUCGGAUCGUAAAACUCUGUUAUUAGGGAAGAACAUAUGUGUAAGUAACUGUGCACAUCUUGACGGUACCUAAUCAGAAAGCCACGGCUAACUACGUGCCAGCAGCCGCGGUAAUACGUAGGUGGCAAGCGUUAUCCGGAAUUAUUGGGCGUAAAGCGCGCGUAGGCGGUUUUUUAAGUCUGAUGUGAAAGCCCACGGCUCAACCGUGGAGGGUCAUUGGAAACUGGAAAACUUGAGUGCAGAAGAGGAAAGUGGAAUUCCAUGUGUAGCGGUGAAAUGCGCAGAGAUAUGGAGGAACACCAGUGGCGAAGCGACUUUCUGGUCUGUAACUGACGCUGAUGUGCGAAAGCGU
rnacentral:rRNA from 1 species